rnacentral:rRNA from 1 species
AACGAACGCUGGCGGCAGGCCUAACACAUGCAAGUCGAGCGAACCCUUCGGGGUUAGCGGCGGACGGGUUAGUAACGCGUGGGAAUAUACCCUUUGGUACGGAAUAGCCUCGGGAAACUGAGAGUAAUACCGUAUGUGCCCUUCGGGGGAAAGAUUUAUCGCCAAAGGAUUAGCCCGCGUUGGAUUAGAUAGUUGGUGGGGUAAUGGCCUACCAAGUCUACGAUCCAUAGCUGGUUUGAGAGGAUGAUCAGCAACACUGGGACUGAGACACGGCCCAGACUCCUACGGGAGGCAGCAGUGGGAAUCUUAGACAAUGGGCGCAAGCCUGAUCUAGCCAUGCCGCGUGGACGAUGAAGGCCUUAGGGUUGUAAAGUCCUUUCAGAUGGGAAGAUAAUGACGGUACCAUCAGAAGAAGCCCCGGCUAACUCCGUG